rnacentral:misc_RNA from 1 species
GAUGAAGAACGUAGCGAAAUGCGAUAAGUAAUGUGAAUUGCAGAAUUCAGUGAAUCAUCGAAUCUUUGAACGCACAUUGCGCCCGCUAGUAUUCUGACGGGCAUGCCUGUCCGAGCGUCAUUUCAACCCUCAAGCCCCCGGGCUUGGUGUUGGGGAUCGGCGAGCCUCCGCGCCCGCCGUCCCCUAAAUCUAGUGGCGGUCUCGCUGUAGCUUCCUCUGCGUAGUAGCACACCUCGCACUGGGAAACAGCGCGGCCACGCCGUUAAACCCCCAACUUCUGAACGUUUGACCUCGGAUCAGGUAGGAAUACCCGCUGAACUUAAGCAUAUCAAUAAGCGGAGGA